UGGUUUUUAAAGAGUUUGGGGAUUAAUUAAGUUAAAAAAGGUAGCAUGGCUUCAUAACUAAUUAGUAUGACUUUAAAAAAAAAUUUAAAUGCUAGAGCUGCCCGGCUUUUCAGACAAUUUACUUUCCAUUUUUUGCCUUGCGGAAAGUGCCAAAAGGAGUUGUAAAAUGUUGGUUUGCAAAAUAAUAAAUUGCCACUGUAGACCAGCUUUUUUAAACUGGGGUAAGUUCCUCAUAUUUAGAGGGUAAUCAGCUACUAAUCAAAAUCAACAUUAGUUAAAGAGACAGAAAACUUGUACCAGUUGUAGUGCAUUACCAAACAUUGAACAACUUAUUCCCAAAAAGUGCAUCCGUUGCAUUAAAUAUAACUGAUGUAAUUAUCCGACAAGCAACUCCGCUACAAGGGUAAAGCAUAAAAAAAGCUUCGGAACCACAGCUGUAGUUCAUCAAAAACGAGGCAUUGUUUGACAAACGAUUUAUUUUCGCUAUAUAUAGCGUACAAAAAUAAUACUGGAAAUACAAGGAGACAAUAAAAAGGGAAAGGUGCUGUUCUUGGAACCCCACGAGUGGCUGAUUAGGCUGUGGCGGUACCAAUACACAAUUUACCUU